GGGAUCUUAGCUCAGCUGGGAGAGCAUCUGCCUUACAAGCAGGGGGUCAUAGGUUCGAGCCCUAUAGGUCCCA
rnacentral:tRNA from 3 species